UGAGGAAUAUUGCACAAUGGGCGCAAGCCUGAUGCAGCAACGCCGCGUGAGGGACGAAGGCCUUCGGGUCGUAAACCUCUUUUCUGGGGAAAGAGCAAGGACGGUACCUCAGGAAUAAGUCUCGGCUAACUACGUGCCAGCAGCCGCGGUAAAACGUAGGAGGCGAGCGUUAUCCGGAUUUACUGGGCGUAAAGCGCACGCAGGUGGUUUCGUAAGUCGGACAUGAAAGCUCCUGGCUUAACUGGGAGAGGCUGUUCGAUACUGCGGGGCUUGAGGUUGGGAGAGGGGUGUGGAAUUCCCGGUGUAGUGGUGGAAUGCGUAGAUAUCGGGAGGAACACCUGUGGCGAAAGCGGCACCCUGGCCCACACCUGACGCUGAGGUGCGAAAGCGUGGGUAGCAAACAGGAUUAGAUACCCUGGUAGUCCACGCCGUAAACGAUGUCAACUGGGUGUCGGUAGUUUACACUAUCGGUGCCGAAGCAAACGCGUUAAGUUGACCGCCU
rnacentral:rRNA from 1 species